UGUGGUUAAAAAGCUCGUAGUUGGAUCUCGGCGGACUGAGGGCGGUUUGCUUGCUAGUAUUACUGCCCUAUAGUCCGUAGUUUUGCCAGAGGUUUCGGGGUGCUCUUAAUCGAGUGUCCCGGGAUGCUGGCAGGUUUACUUUGAAAAAAUUAGAGUGCUCAAAGCAGGCUAUUACGCCUGAAUAUUCGUGCAUGGAAUAAUAGAAUAGGAAGUCGUUUCUAUUUUGUUGGUUUUCGGAAAUCGACUUAAUGAUUAAUAGGGACAGUCGGGGGCAUUUGUAUUCAAACGACAGAGGUGAAAUUCUUGGACCGUUUGAAGACAAACUACUGCGAAAGCAUUUGCCAAGAAUGUUUUCAUUAAUCAAGUACGAAAGUUAAAGGUUCGAAGGCGAUUAGAUACCGCCCUAGUUUUAACCAUAAACGAUGCCAGCUAGCGAUCUGCGGACGUUUUUUUUGUAGACUCCGCAGGAAGCUUCCGGGAACCAAGCAU
rnacentral:rRNA from 1 species